GCAUAUCAAUAAGCGGAGGAAAAGAAACCAACAGGGAUUGCCUCAGUAACGGCGAAGUGAAGCGGCAAGAGCUCAAAUUUGAAAGCUGGCCCCCUCGGGGUCCGCAUUGUAAUUUGCAGAGGAUGCUUCGGGAGUGGCCCCCAUCUAAGUGCUCUGGAACGGGCCGUCAUAGAGGGUGAGAAUCCCGUAUGGGAUGGGGUGUCCGCGACCAUGUGAAGCUCCUUCGACGAGUCGAGUUGUUUGGGAAUGCAGCUCUAAAUGGGUGGUAAAUUUCAUCUAAAGCUAAAUAUUGGCCGGAGACCGAUAGCGCACAAGUAGAGUGAUCGAAAGAUGAAAAGCACUUUGAAAAGAGAGUUAAAAAGCACGUGAAAUUGUUGAAAGGGAAGCGCUUGCGACCAGACUCGCCUACGGGGUUCAGCCGGUAUUCGUACCGGUGUACUUCCCCGUGGGCGGGCCAGCGUCGGUUUGGGCGGCCGGUCAAAGGCCCUCGGAAUGUAACGCCUCUCGGGGCGUCUUAUAGCCGAGGGUGCCAUGCGGCCAGCCCGGACCGAGGAACGCGCUUCGGCACGGACGCUGGCAUAAUGGUCGUAAGCGACCCGUCUUGAAACACGGACC
rnacentral:rRNA from 1 species